UCACCCGUCCCCAUGUCCGACAUCCCCACGUCUCUCUGUCCCCGUGUCCCCAUUCCCCCAUCUGUGUCCUAUGUCCCCAUGUCCCUCUGUCCCCAUUUUCACGUGUCCCCACAUCUCACAUCCCAUUGUCCGUCUGUCCCCACGUCCUUCAGCCCCACGUCCACAAACCCCUGUCACCCUGUGUCCUAUGUCCCUGUGUCCCAUAUCCCCAUGUCCAUCUGUCCCCACGUCCACGCGUCCCCACGUCUCACAUCCGCACGUCCCUGUGACCCCACAUCCCCACAUCUCGUGUCCCCAUGUCCUUCUGUCCCCAUGUCCCAUAUCUGUGUCUCAUAUCCCCAUGUCCUUCUGUCCCCGUGUCCCAUGUCCCCGUGUCCUUCUGUCCCACGUCCCCAUGUUCCUGUCACCCUGUGUCCUAUGCCCCCAUGUCCCCACACCCCCGUGUCCCCGUGUCCAUCUGUCCCCACUUCCACGCGUCCCCACGUCUCACAUCCGCACGUCCCUGUGACCCCACAUCCCCACAUCUCGUGUCCCCAUGUCCUUCUGUCCCCAUGUCCCAUAUCUGUGUCUCAUAUCCCCAUGUCCUUCUGUCCCCGUGUCCCAUGUCCCCGUGUCCUUCUGUCCCAUGUCCCCACGUCCCUGUCACCCUGUGUCCUAUGCCCCCAUGUCCCCACACCGCCGUGUCCAUCUGUCCCCACUUCCACAUGUCCCGUCUCACAUCCGCACGUCCCCGUGACCCCACAUCCCACAUCCCCAAAUCUCACGUCCCCACAUCCUUCUGUCCCCGUGUCCCAUGUCCCCAUGUCCCCAUGUCCUUCUGUCCCACAUCCCCACGUCCCACACCCGCACUCCACCCCCCCCACCCCUCCCCUAUAGGGCGCACAUCCCCAAAGCGAUGCACACAGCACCUCGCCGCCCCAAAAGGAACGGGACCGCAGCGGGGCGCUGCCCCAUAGGAGCACACAUCAUCGCCCCCCAUAGCGGCAGGCAUCGCCCCCCAUAGCGGGGUGUGGGGCGGAGGGAUGCUGCCCCAUAGAUGCAGCUGCCCCAUAGAUGCAGCUGCCCCAUAGAUGCAGCAGCCCCAGCGGCAGCCGCCCACCCCUGCGGCACCGCAGCGCUGCAGCACCGGCCCAC
rnacentral:lncRNA from 1 species